rnacentral:rRNA from 1 species
ACUCCUGCGGGAGGCAGCAGUGGGGAAUAUUGGACAAUGGGCGCAAGCCUGAUCCAGCCAUGCCGCGUGAGUGAUGAAGGCCCUAGGGUUGUAAAGCUCUUUCACCGGUGAAGAUAAUGACGGUAACCGGAGAAGAAGCCCCGGCUAACUUCGUGCCAGCAGCCGCGGUAAUACGAAGGGGGCUAGCGUUGUUCGGAUUUACUGGGCGUAAAGCGCACGUAGGCGGACUAUUAAGUCAGGGGUGAAAUCCCGGGGCUCAACCCCGGAACUGCCUUUGAUACUGGUAGUCUUGAGUUCGAGAGAGGUGAGUGGAAUUCCGAGUGUAGAGGUGAAAUUCGUAGAUAUUCGGAGGAACACCAGUGGCGAAGGCGGCUCACUGGCUCGAUACUGACGCUGAGGUGCGAAAGCGUGGGGAGCAAACAGGAUUAGAUACCCUUGUAGUCCCAUG